rnacentral:rRNA from 1 species
AUUGAACGCUGGCGGCAUGCCUUACACAUGCAAGUCGAACGGUAACAGGUCUCCGGGUGCUGACGAGUGGCGAACGGGUGAGUAAUACAUCGGAACGUGCCCGAUCGUGGGGGAUAACGGAGCGAAAGCUUUGCUAAUACCGCAUACGAUCUACGGAUGAAAGCAGGGGACCGCAAGGCCUUGCGCGGACGGAGCGGCCGAUGGCAGAUUAGGUAGUUGGUGGGAUAAAAGCUUACCAAGCCGACGAUCUGUAGCUGGUCUGGGAGGACGACCAGCCACACUGGGACUGAGACACGGCCCAGACUCCUACGGGAGGCAGCAGUGGGGAAUUGUUCACAAUGGGCGCAAGCCUGAUGACGCAACGCCGCGUGGAGGAUGAAGGCCUUCGGAUUGUAAACUCCUGUUGCUCGGGACGAAAAGCUCUGACCUAACACGUCAGAGUCUGACGGUACCGGGUGAGGAAGCCCCGGCUAACUCUGUGCCAGCAGCCGCCGUAAUAC